UCAAACUUGGUCAUUUAGAGGAAGUAAAAGUCGUAACAAGGUUUCCGUAGGUAAGUAGAAACUUUCCAUCUUACACCCCCUAUAGCCCAUAGUUGUUGCAUGAAUGCAGACAACGGAGGCGGACAAAAUUAAUAGUUUAUUAAUUUCACAUAUUUAUCACUUAAUAUUUUUCAAUGCUUGAAUAAUGUGCUGACUUUUUACUUUUAGGUGAACCUGCGGAAGGAUCAUUAUGGAGUGGUAAACCCCCCGUAAAAAGGGAGAGGGACCUCCUGUCCUUGCAGGCUCCUUUAUUAAGGGGCUUUUUUUUUGACUUUCUGCUUCGGUGGGAUUAACCCACCGGAACAACCUCAAAACUCUGAAAAAACUUUUCUGUCUGAGGAUGUCUUUUAUAAUAAAAAAAAACUUUCAACAACGGAUCUCUUGGUUCUGGCAUCGAUGAAGAACGCAGC
rnacentral:misc_RNA from 1 species